GACGUAGGGCGCGAGCGUUGUCCGGAUUUAUUGGGCGUAAAGAGCUCGUAGGCGGCUGGUCGCGUCGACCGUGAAAACUCACAGCUCAACUGUGAGCCUGCGGUCGAUACGGGCAGGCUAGAGUUCGGUAGGGGAGACUGGAAUUCCUGGUGUAGCGGUGAAAUGCGCAGAUAUCAGGAGGAACACCGGUGGCGAAGGCGGGUCUCUGGGCCGAUACUGACGCUGAGGAGCGAAAGCGUGGGGAGCGAACAGG
rnacentral:rRNA from 1 species